rnacentral:lncRNA from 1 species
ACCUCACCCACCAUACAGCGCCUCUACCAACACGGGUGCUGUGCCUGGGAUUUAGAAACUCACAGGUUGCAUGAGCUCAUAUUUCCGUGCUGCCACAUGGACUUUGCAGCCAUGGGAUGGAUCUCUUGCUAGACCUCUCCACCCAAGCACUGGAGAAUUGGUAAAGCUCCCUACUCUCACUGGUCAGCAUAAACGCCCUCUGGUCCCAAGGGAGGGCUGUUGAGCUUGCAGCCACCCCGUGGUGUCCUGGUCUUCUUACUGAUGCUUCGUUCUCGGACCUCUACCCCUGGGUCUCCGAAGAAGAUAUGGGCACAGUGACAAGAUUCUACCUGGACUGUGGUAUGAUAACCACUGAGAAACACUGCUCCAUUGCCUUGCCCACUGUCAAAGCUUGGCCUACACUGUGGAUAAAUAGAGGCUACCCAAAGAAUUUAAUGUCUCAUAUUGGAUCAUUUUUCAUUUCACAUGUACCAUACCCGUACUUCCUCCACAGGAAAAGCUUCUUGUCUUCUGCGAAUGAGGCCAGAUUGACUUUGCCCGAGGGACCACAGGGACCUGGGAACUGUUUAGGUAGUGGACUAUAAACCAACCUGUCAUUUUAAUUAAUACAUGACUAGAUUAUAACUUAUUAUUCCCAGAUUUCUGAUUACAUUGCCAGGUCAGAUAACUACAACUUGACAGCUAGAAAACAGACCUCUAGCUCCUUAUCCCAAGGUAAUCCACCACCUUAUUAGCUCCAUGGUCAAUUUGUUAACUAGCUAAGCCUGCCAGAUCUCUUAUCAACGUCAGACAGGUUUACUUGCUCACAGACUUCACGAUAAAGGACACACAAGUUCAGAUGUAAGCUUUCACAGAUGUAACCUUCUGUUAUUUCCUUAUCUAAACUCAGUUUCCAGGGACCAAAUGCCUCAUAUUUCCUCUCCUUGCUAUGCUAUCGUCCUAACAUUAACCAAUAGAAUUGCAGGAAUAC